CCGUUGGGGUUAGCCUAACGGGUGAUUGGCCAGGGAAACUAUUUUAAAGGACUCGACUAACCCCCCUGAUAAUCCCUAACCCUAGAAUUAACACUCUCCUCCUCCUCACUCCAGCGGCAGCCUCCACGGCUUUUCCUUCUCCCCACCGUUACACCUCCAACUUCACACUCCCGAGAAGUAUAAUCGAAGCUGUUAAACAUGAUAAUCAAGUUUCCCUCCUCUAUCUCUGGUGGAGAUUCUCUCUAUCGCAGCAGAUACUUCACUUCUGAUUAAUUUGUGGUUUUUCUUUGCAGAGAUGUUUUAAGAGGUAAAACAAUUGUAGAUGUUUCUGACAAGGACAGAGUAUGAUGGACUGGUGAUAUGGUCCUUUAGGCCGAUCUGUUGCUCGUAGUAACUGGGCUGAAGUUUAUUAUUCUAAAGGUGCAGAGUUGAUUAAUUCUAUUCUUGACGCCUUUAGAAAAGAAGCUGAAAACAAUAAUGGUUCACAAGUAGUACUUGGUGGGUGUAGGAGAUGGUGGAGUUGUGAUUUGUAAUAGUAAGGAGCAGGUAAUGGUGAUGGUGGUGGUAAUGAUUUUUUUCAGCAUGGAGUGGGUACUGGAGAUGGUGGUGGUUGUGAUUUGUAGGAAUUUGGGGCUUGUACGUAUGGGUUGGUACGAUAAUAUGGACAGUUGUUCCACUGGAGACGGUUGUUUCUUGAUGGACAAUACGUGUUGGCGUAUGAAUGGUGUUUGGUUCUUGUGUGCUGGUUGGCUCUCCGCUCCGCGCGGCGAAGGGCAAUCCCUAUUACCUCUUCAGUCCCGUCCCAUGUUUUCCUUCGGGAAACACUCGUUUGGUUCCUGUGGUGCCUACCUAUCAAGAAGGUGGUAAUCAUUCUUGGCAUCAUAGAGGAGUUCAAGUACAGACUAAGAUGGAUUCAGUGGUAAUUAUUCUUGGUAGUCAUUCAAGAAAUCAACUUCCAAAUGGGAUUCAGUGGCUAACUUAUAAUGGUGACUGGAUCUUAAACUAAGAUGUACGCUGAACACGAAAGAAAUUCAAGACAAGGAGCAACUGUUGCAGUUAUUAUGGCUUUCUUCUGAUCUGUCGGAUGAAGAAGGCAUUGUUUUAUUUGUCUUUCAUGCAAGCAGCUCCAAGGUUUGUUAUGAAGAAAUUUUAAUGGUUGAAUACAGAUCAUACAUGAUUAGGCA